UGAAAGUUUUCUUAUAGUCAUGCACCGAAGGUUUUUCACCUUGGCUUAAUUCAAGUAGCUACAUAUAUGGCAUUCAGCCCAUUGUUUCUCCUUUAGUUGGUAGUGCUGGCCCUGCCAUAUACCUAGCUGCCUGCUUGUAUUUCUUUGGUCUUUGCACAGAGGCUGAUCUCACACUACACUCAGCGUGGAAUUAGCUUUUGUCUCGCAGAGCAGCUGUUUUAGAUGGGAACCAAGGUGUCAUGCUCUUGCCCUCAAGCAUCUGCUUAGGGUUAAAUGAUGAACCGGCGGGGUGCUGAGAUUUGGCAAUGGUGGCUGCAUCCUUAAGCAGGCCUUCAAGACUCCAGAGAGACAUGAAUUUAUUCAGGUGAGGAAGGGAGCACACAGGAGACAGAGA
rnacentral:lncRNA from 1 species